rnacentral:rRNA from 1 species
UCUGUAGGUGGUUUAUGAAGUUCCCUGUCAAAUAUCAGGGCUCAACCUUGAGAAGGCAGUGAAGUACUCAUAGACUAGAGUACGGUAGGGGUAGAGGGAACUCCGCGUGGAGCGGUGAAAUGCGUAGAGAUGCGGAGGAACACCAGAGGCGAAGGCGCUCUACUGGGCCGUUACUGACACUGAGAGACGAAAGCUAAGGCGGUGAAA